rnacentral:rRNA from 1 species
UGAGGAAUAUUGGACAAUGGGCGCAAGCCUGAUCCAGCAAUGCCGCGUGAGUGAUGAAGGCCUUAGGGUUGUAAAGCUCUUUCGCACGCGACGAUGAUGACGGUAGCGUGAGAAGAAGCCCCGGCUAACUUCGUGCCAGCAGCCGCGGUAAUACGAAGGGGGCUAGCGUUGUUCGGAAUUACUGGGCGUAAAGGGCGCGUAGGCGGCCUGUUAAGUUAGGAGUGAAAGCCCCGGGCUCAACCUGGGAAUUGCUCUUAAUACUGGCAGGCUUGAGUUCCGGAGAGGAUGGUGGAAUUCCCAGUGUAGAGGUGAAAGUGGUAGAGAUUGGGAAGAACACCGGUAGCGAAGGCGGGCAUCUGGACGGACACUGACGCUGAGGCGCGAAAGCGUGGGGAGCAAACA